UUGCAUGUUGCAUGAUAUUUUCAUGUUAGGGUAGGGGCAGUUAAAAUACUUAAUUAAAACUUGCUGCUAUUCAAUUUUAUUCUAUCAUUAUUCAACUGUUAUUCAAUUGUUUUAUGGGGGUUCAUCUUAGAAUGUCAUCAUCAUCUUCAUCAAUAUCUUCUUCAUCUUUUCCCAAACGUACUUUGGGAAAACCAUUGUGCUUCUACGAGCUCGAAGCCACAUUGAAAUGGUCAACUACUACAAAAAAUCCUAGAUGACCCUUCUUAGGGUAUUCAAAGUACAAUACCCAGGGCUUACCAUAUUGUAAGUUUUUCAAAUGGUUGGAUACUAAUGAAGUGAUUGAGCUACAAGUUGAAGAAAGAAUGAAUGAACUGUUAAAGAAAGAGAAAGAGGUCGAGAAGAUACUCGAGCUUCUUAAAAAGAGGGAGAUUGAGCUGCGUAAGAUAGUGAAUCGCCUCGAGAGGGUGCAGAUGGUACUAUCCAAUAAAAGCGACGAGGUUAUGCAAAAGGAGUUGGUGCUUAAUGCACAAGAAGCUAAAAUAAGGCGUGUAGGCACGCUACUUCGGAUUUAUUACUGUUUUGCAUUUGUACAUGUAUUUUACCUAGUGUUAUAUAAGUAAUUUGGGAUUGUUGUUAGUUCUAUGUUUAGGUAUUGAACUUGUACAUUUGUUUUAACUUUGUAUUGGACUUGUACAUUUGUUUUAAAUUUGUAUUGGACUU